rnacentral:misc_RNA from 1 species
GAUGAAGAACGUAGCGAAAUGCGAUAAGUAGUGUGAAUUGCAGAAUUCAGUGAAUCAUCGAAUCUUUGAACGCACAUUGCGCCCCUUGGUAUUCCAUGGGGCAUGCCUGUUCGAGCGUCAUUUGUACCUUCAAGCUCUGCUUGGUGUUGGGUGUUUGUCUCGCCUCUGCGUGUAGACUCGCCUCAAAAUAAUUGGCAGCCGGCGUAUUGAUUUCGGAGCGCAGUACAUCUCGCGCUUUGCACUCAUAACGACGACGUCCAAAAGUACAUUUUUACACUCUUGACCUCGGAUCAGGUAGGGAUACCCGCUGAACUUAAGCAUAUCAAUAAGCGGAGGA